rnacentral:rRNA from 1 species
GAUGAACGCUGGCGGCGUGCCUAAUACAUGCAAGUCGAGCGAACAGACGAGGAGCUUGCUCCUCUGACGUUAGCGGCGGACGGGUGAGUAACACGUGGAUAACCUACCUAUAAGACUGGGAUAACUUCGGGAAACCGGAGCUAAUACCGGAUAAUAUAUUGAACCGCAUGGUUCAAUAGUGAAAGACGGUUUUGCUGUCACUUAUAGAUGGAUCCGCGCCGCAUUAGCUAGUUGGUAAGGUAACGGCUUACCAAGGCAACGAUGCGUAGCCGACCUGAGAGGGGGAUCGGCCAAACGGGACAGGGGACACGGCCCAGCCUCCGAGGGGGGGCAGCAGGAGGGAAUCUUCCGCAAGGGGGGAAAGCCUGACGGAGCAACGCCGGGGGAGUGAUGAAGGUCUUCGGAUGGAAAAACCCUGUUAUGAGGGAAAAACAAAUGUUUAAGUAACCAUGCCCGUCUGGACGGUACCAAAGCAGAAAGCCCCGGCAAACUACGG